ACACUUCACAUUAAGCCAUGGAUCGCUAUAUGGGUUCUGCCGGUUUCGGCCGGCUAUGGCGAUAAAUUGCGCUGUGCAAUAGGUACAACGGACCCGGGGGCAGUACCCGGCGGCUCCACCAUAACCCGCUCUAAUACGGCGGUUUUUGACGGGGCCGAACUAGGAUCGACGUGUGCUGAAAGACUGUGUUUUCGCCCGGGCUGAGUAACCCGUAAAACUGUUCACAACACACAAGUGCCAACGAUAACGAAGCACUCGCUCUCGCAGCGUAAUCUGACGGGCUAACGCCCUGAUCUUACAAAGCUAAAGCGCGGUUGGACCCACCGGGCAACAGAAGCGGAUUCCG
rnacentral:tmRNA from 1 species